rnacentral:tRNA from 1 species
GGAGUUGUGACUCAGUGGUAAAGCAUCUGCUUGGCAUGCAGAAGCUUCCAGGUUCAAUCCCUGCCAUCUCCA